CUAAAAAUGAGAGGUUUUUCCUGAAAUCCUAAAAUGUCUCUGCUUGAUCAUUUCUACAAAUAAAAUAUGGGUUUGAGAUUUGCACAUUCUUGCAUUCUGUUUUGUUUAUAUGUUAUACAGCGUCCCAGCGUUUUUGGUAAAAGUGUUCUCUAAAGUUCUAAGUGUUUUGUUUUUGUCUUGCACCGGUGGGUUUAAAUAUUAUUCUGUCAUGAUAUCCUUUACAAAAACAGCCCCCUGAUGUGUGAUUGAAUUUUUACCAAAGAGCCCAAGUGAAGAAAACACGCAGUGCUUGUUUUUAGCUCAUCUGACUGAAAGACUGAUGCCUUGGUGAAGCUCGGUCAUCAGGUGUCGUAGGCCUACAGUACUGGUCUGAUUUUAGUGAAGCUUGCACACUUAUCACUUCACCCAAACGAUGCUCAAGGUUAAUGUUAAAUGUGUUCUUUUAUGGGCCCUUUAUCGCUUUCACUUUACAAACUUUAACAUAUUUACAACUCACUCGCACCUGAUGUACAGAACAGCAUUCGAUUCAGUCCAUUUAGCAAAAUCAUUGACAUAAAAGGAUAAAACAUUGCAUGCGCUACAAAAUAAAUAAUAAUAAUAACUUUGUGAAAUAUCAAAGGAUGCGAUGACUUCAAAUAUUACUUUUGCACACAUGUUGCAUACUACUUGGUCAUGAUGGAGGGCGUGGUCAUAUUGGUUGAAAUUCUUUUGUUAAAGAAGUUAAAUGAAGAAUAAUAAUAAUAUAUACUAGCACAUGCCUCUCUCACAGACAGAGCUGAAUCAAUGUAGGAUUCAAAACUAACCUUUAUUCAGGUUGAGGACAAAGGAAUACAAAAUCCUUCAAAGAGACAAACAACAGAAACUCCAGGCACGCGUGAAGGCAGAAUACAAGGGAGUAUUAACAACCACUUUGAGCUCUAAGAGAAGGAAGAUCGGGCAAUUUAUACACACAGGAGGCCAAUCAGGAGGCAAACAGAGGUGCAAACAAUCAGGAGAAAAGCACAGGCAGGAAGCAAAACUGAUGUAAGAAAGCUAGACUUCAAAAUAAAACGGUAAACAAAUGAGACGACACUUGAAGCAGACCAAGAGCAGCUAUUAACAAAAGCUGGGACACAGAAAUGAACACAUAAGGGAACCACAAAACUAAACAUUGCAUUAAAAAAAAACAAAACAAAAAAAAAAACAGUGUGAUAAAAGUCCUUAUGUGGUCAUCUCCCAAUACUCGCACACCAGACGUUGAUAAAAAAAGCAAUUUACUUUUUCUUUUGCUCUGUUUUUGAACAGAGCAUCUUUUUGUUAUCGAUUUAUUUAGACAGACGAGGCGGUCUUCACGGGGAGGUAUGGUAAAUAUCUCCAAGGAUCUCCUUUGAAAUGUCCCACAUGCACACAGGAGCAGAGAACAAACUUCUUUAUCUCACAAAUACCUAGUUUACAUCCCAAGGUAUUACAUUCACAUAGCGGCUCAGUUUCACUGAUUAGCCCGCCAUAAGAAAAUGUCACUUUGUGAUCUUUAGAUAAUGAAAUGAAAACACUACUUGCUGCUUUAACGACUCUCGACUCCUGCAAAUGUUUACUGAAAGCUCCCCUUCCAAGCUGAGCUGUGAGCUAAUCUCUCACAGCAAUGAGUCAGACAGGUGGAUAAAAAUACACGCAGGAGUCAAACAAACGUCAAGAAAACUGUUUCCACUUGGGCUCAAAUCGCUUAGGAGGCAGUAAAACUGCUGCUGGUCUUGAAUGAUCUGGUUUAAAAAUGCACUGCGGUCCUUUUCAAAGCUGCAGGCUCUCUGCAUCUCGCCAUCUGUGUGCAGCACGAACCUCACCACAAUAUAAACACACAGCAUUAUGUGUAGACACAUCCUAGUUAAACAUAUCGCUGCAUUGCUUUCCAUACGCACACGGUUGGGCAUGUUCUCACAUGCAAAGUUUACUACUGCAACAUAAUUCACUUAUUUUAAUCUAAAAAUGUAAAUUUUUUGGCUCAUUCAAUCCAUAUCAUAUGUUCAUGUUCAUUCCCUUUCAGCUAAUAAGGGCAUCACAGCACAUGUGGACUUGUGCGUUUUUGUUGUGAAAUGUUCCUGUCUAUGAGUUGGAAAGUUAGGACUUUAUAUUUUUCUAAAUAUAUCUCUGAGGAGGGUUCUGUGUAUUUCAGUACUGUAUAUGCAUAUGUAACUGUACACUGUUGCUGGGAGCGAAUUCAGUGGCUUUGUAGUGUUUUUGAGCAUGUUUGCACAGACUUGUACCUUCGCAGACCUGGUGAAAAUCAAUCAUGACCAUCAAUAAACUCUACUUGUAAAUUUG
ensembl:lncRNA